AAUCUCACCAAUUAAAAUGAAGCUUGUUUGAACAAAUCAAUUAGUCAACUCUAUUGCUCUUUCUUGGUUCAUUAUUCAACUUCUCUCGUUUGUCUGCAACUGGCUUUUAUACGUUUGGCGUUGUAGUGCUAACUCAAAGUAUGGCAGAGGCAUUUCUUAAAGUCGUUCUUGAUAAUCUGGGCUCGCUUAUCAAGGAGGAGAUUGGACUGAUAUUGGGCGUUGAUGAAGAGAUGCAGAAGCUUUCAAGCACCCUCACCACCCUUCAAGCUGUGUUGGAAGAUGCUGAAGACAAGCAAAUUGAGAGCAAGCCUAUUCGAGAUUGGUUGCAGAAACUCAACGUCCUUGCUUAUGAGAUUGAUGAUAUCUUGGAUGAGUGCAACACUCAUGUCUCCAAACUCAAACACACUCGCAACAAACUCAGUCGCUACAGCCUCCAGAAGAUUUUGUAUCGUCACAAGAUCGGGAGGAGGAUGAAACAAGUCACAAAGCAACUGGAUGGUGUUGCUACAGAGCGCACUAAAUUUCAUCUGCGUGAGAUGCCUGUUGAUAGGCUAAGAGAAGUUGCUGCCUCACGUGAGACGGGUUCCUUGUUGAACUAUACAGAUCAGAUUUAUGGCAGAGAAGAAGACGAAAACAAGAUUGUGGAGAUGUUGGUAAUUGAUGUAAAGGAGAAUAAGGAAAUGUCUGUGUUGCCAAUCAUUGGCAUUGGUGGUCUUGGCAAGACUACUCUUGCUCAAUUAGUCUUUAACGAUCCGCGGGUGGUAGACCACUUUGAUAUAAGAAUUUGGGUUUGUGUCUCUGACAAUUUUGAGUUGAAGACUUUGGUGAAGGCAAUGAUAGAAGCUGCCACAGGGAGCGCGAAAGCUGCAGAUCUGCAACAAUUGGAUGUUGUAGAACGUCAGCUUUGGGAGUUGUUGAGCCAAAAAAGAUAUUUGAUUGUACUAGAUGAUGUUUGGAACGACCAACAAGAGAAAUGGUUUGAGUUGAAAGAUACUCUAUCAUGUGGCUCAACCGGUGCAUCCAUCAUUGUCACCACACGCCAAAAGAAGGUUGCAGAUAUAAUGGGAACUCUUCCAGCUCACUGUCUAAACGGGCUGUCAGAUGAGAAUUGUUGGAUGUUGCUCAGGUCACGUGCCUUCGGACCUAAAGAAGAGGUGUCUCCGCAGCUGGAAAUGAUUGGGAAUGAGAUUGUGAAGAAAUGCGUUGGCGUGCCCCUCGCUGCUAAGGCGCUAGGAGGAAUUUUGCGGUUUAAAAGGACACAAGAGGAAUGGAUAUAUGUGAGAGAGAGUGAAUUGUGGAAGCUCUCUCCAGAAGAGAGUUUGAUAAUGCCAGCUCUGAGAUUGAGUUAUCAUCAUCUUGCUUUGGAGCUCAGACAAUGCUUUGCUUAUUUUGCUGCCUUUCCCAAGGACCAUGAAAUUGAAAAAGAAGAAUUGAUUCGUCUAUGGAUAGCUCAUAGCUAUAUUUCAUCAAAGGGAGAUAUACAAGUUGAAGAUGUUGGGAAUCAAAUAUGUAAUGAGUUAUUACUCAGAUCUCUUCUACAAUCAACUUUUAGGGAUAACAAGAUCAUUAUGCAUGAUCUUGUUCAUGAUCUAGCGCAAUCAAUAAUGGAGAACAAAGUUCCCGGGAUACAAAGUGAGAGAAAUAUUCUAAGUGCAUCUACUAUUCGUGAGGUAAAUUUGAUAGACAGAACUAUCUUGUUUCCUAAAACUUUUCAGCAAAAUAUGAACAUUUCAUCCAUCUUGGAGCUCACAAGUUUAAGAGUAUUAUAUGCAAACUACAAGGGAAUAAAAGAUUUGUCUACUUCAAUCGGCAAUCUUAUACAUCUGCGAUACUUGAAUUUGUCUACAUCUACAAUUCGCACUCUCCCGAACUCAUUAUGUACUCUUUGGAAUUUGCAAAUCCUCAACUUGAAUUUCUGUCGUAGUCUUGUGGCCUUACCUAAGAAGUUGACAUCCUUACAUAAUCUCCAACAUCUAUGUUUAUCCAGGUGUGAGUCGUUGUCUGAGAUGCCCUCUAAAAUAAGAGAGUUAACUAGCCUCAAAACAAUGAGUAUGUUUGUAGUAGGUAUCAAGGUUGGUAACCAACUUGAGGAACUGCGGUGCUUGAACCUCAGCGGAGAGCUUGAGAUUCGACAUUUGGAGAGAGUAAAAGAUCCCUUGGAUGCAAAGAAAGCAAAUAUGUCUGCCAAAAAGAAUCUCAAGGAGUUGAGCUUUUUGUGGGAAAGAGAUGAUUUAUCCAAGUUAGAGGAAGACACUGAUGAAAAUGUAUUGGAAGCACUUCAACCUCACCCAAAUCUUGAAUCUCUUCGCAUAAAGGGUUUCAGAGGUAGAUAUCUUCCACGUUGGAUGAAAAGUUCAACUCUGGAAAAUAUAGUUAGGAUCUAUAUAACAGACUGCCCAAAUUGUAGGUGUCUUCCAAAACUAGAAGAGCUAACUCAUCUUGAAAUGUUGCGUUUAGAGAAUAUGGAGGUGGAGUACGUUAUUGAAGAAGUUGGAAAUGGAAACCCGGUAAAAGUUCAGUUCCCUGCUUUGGAAGAGUUGAGUUUAUCAAAUAUCCCAAAUCUGAAGGGGCUUUCUAAGGAGCAACUGAGUAACGAAGCAUUCCCAAAACUUAAACGGCUAUAUAAUACACAUUGCUCUUCAUUAAGACUGGAACAACUCUCAUUCCUCCAAAAGUUGGAGUAUCUAAAUUGCAGUAGCUCAACUCUGGCUUUAUUAUCUGAGCAGGACAUUCCUAGGGAUCUAUGUGUGGAAAUUGAGGAAAGCCUGACAUGUUUUUCAAUGGAAACGCUGGUAAAGUACCCUAAGCUCCGGUAUUUAAUAAUUAGAGGUGCAAAAGAGAUCUCCGUGACAAGAGGAGGUUUGGAAGCCUUAAAAGAGCUUACACACUUACGCUUUUUAUGUUGUGAUACAAUGACACGCAUUCCACAAGGGAUGUUCCAGCAUCUAUCUUCUCUGCAGAACCUCGAUAUAUGUUCCUGCAAAGAAAUAGUAGAGUUGCCAGAAGAGAUUAAAAAUCUUCACAAUCUUCAAAAUAUAUACUUAAUCAGACUUCCCAAGAUGGCGCGCUUAAGGAAAGCUUUACAUCACCUCUCCACACUCAAAUUUCUAUUCCUAUAUGAACUUCCUGAGCUGAAAUCACUCCCUGACCAGCUACCAUCUCUUCAUAUCCUCGAAGUUUUCAGAUGCCCAAAGGUUGUAUCAGUUCCAGCUCUACCAAAUGCCAAAGGACUAAGAAUAGAAGAAUGCCCACAACUAGAAAGACGAUGCCAUAGAGGAACAGGAGAGGAUUGGCACAAGAUUUCCCACAUUCGCCGUUUGCGAAUUUGUUAUAGCUAACUCCACUCCACUCCACUCCACAGGUAUGUAUCAUUGCUUCGACCAAACACACUAGCAUUUCCAUCAACUUUAAGUCACAUUUUCUUCUACUGAAUAUAUGUAGAGAUCAUAACUGAUUUAUCUUCCCAAUCUGCAUUUCUGUUUUUCACACCGGCAUUGAAAGUCUUUAACAUAAACAUAAAUGUCUUUGAAAUGAGUCUUGUUCUAUUCUCCUUCAACACAAUGUCACGUUUUUUUUAUUCUUCACUAGUUCUGCCAAGUUGGCCAUACUUGUUCCAUUUUGUUUUCGUUUUCUUAUUGAAUAGCCAUAUUUGUUUGUUGCUGCCUGAUGGGAUAGUGUUCUUUCAUGCAUUUGAAUUUGGAUUAAUUUUGUUAACAAAUUGUGAAAAAGAACAAUUUGAGAAAGUCAACUAAAUUGCAUUAGUAUCAUGUAAUGAACUUUACAUAUUCAGAUUAUGGUAUUUAACCACAUCUGAUGCAGUUCAAACGUAGAAAUCGGGCUAAAACCUUCGGUGUCAGAAUGACUUGAAAUUUGCACGGUGCAUGCGAAUCGGAUGGACGAUGGAUUUUGGCCAUCUGAUAUGGGCUCACUCGACUUAUUUAACGAUCGAAGUGGAGUUAUUAAGCAACUUCAGAAGCUGACAAUCUGCAACAUCCCUUCUGGGAUACAUGUCACUUUGUAACAAUAAUAUAGACAUAAACUUGAAAGGUCCUUUUAAUGCUUCUAGACCUUCUCUGCUUGUCACAUAGAUUUUUCUUAAAUUGUUUCAAACAUUCAGUAAUUCUGUUACACUCUUGGAUUAGCUAA